rnacentral:lncRNA from 1 species
CAAAAAUAAGCUAUUUGGCGCCUCAAUCAAAAGCCCAUAAAGCUUAGCCAAUCAAAAGACGACGUUCCUUCGGUCUCGAGGGUCAUCCCUGCGGACCUGUGAAGAAGAAUGAUUCGGGCCAGACAUGAUAAAAGAUGAAGCCUAGACGAGGAGACGUCUCCAUCAUCAUCAUGUGACUCCCCUGGGACCAGCAAGGCACAGGGUGGCCAGCUGGGACAAGAGCCCAACACUCCAAAUGUCUCUCCACUAGUGGCACUUAUCAGGAAGAAGAGAUGACUGUGGAUCAACCUGACCAACUGCAAGUUCGAGAGCGGUGAGUACCUCCCUCCCGUCCUCCUAACUAUCAAACCUGAUGAUUAGCAAAGAGAUGUACACACUGAAUGACUGAAUACAGUAAUGACUAAUGAUAAUGGAUCGUACUUAAUCCCUAUAGAGCUGAUCAAUCAAUGCCAUUGUCUCCAUGAUGUAGUGCCAUUGAUCAAGCGUCAUUAAAAUAUCAUCAAUUGAGCUCAUUAACCUAGACCUAUUGUGCUCUCAACACUCGUGGCCUUGAGCAUCCGGUUUUUAGUAAGAAGCAAAAGUGAUUGACAAGCUGUUUUUUUUUCAUAUUCUGUAUUGCGAUAUUUAUCAAAUGCUGAUCUAGUAUAAUAUUGUUAUCCUGAUCGGCAGUAGAAUUAAGUGUCAAAUUUGUUUAGUACUGUCACAGAGAAAUGUUGGUACACCAGUGUGAUGACAGAUAUAUCCCUCUGACUAUUUGACCCAUCGUUCAGUUUCAAUGAUUCACACAGUUAGAAAUUGGAAAGACCCAAUGGUUCUGUCUUGUCACAUUGAAAGUAAAGGAAUUAUCCCGACACAUCAAGUAUUUACAGACUCUUCCAAGACGGUCUCGGCAUAGCCAACUAUUCAUAUUGGCCUAACUUAUACUACCGUUGAAAAGUUUGGCGUCACUUAGAAAUGUCCUUGUUUUUGAAAGAAAAACACAUUUUUUUUGUCCAUUUAAAAUAACAUAAAAUUGAUCAGAAAUACAGUGUAGACAUUGUUAAUGUUGUAAAUGACUAUUGUAGCUGGAAACAGAUGAAGGCCAGCAUCCCGGAGUCGCCUCUUCACUGUUGACAUUGAGACGGGUGUUUUGAAGGUACUAUUUAAUGAAGCUGCCAGUUGAGGACUUGUGAAGCGUCUGUUUCUCAGACUAGACAUUCUAAUGUACUUAUCCUCUAGCUCAGUUGUGCACUGGGGCCUCCCACUCCUCUUUCUAUUCUGGUUAGAGACAGUUUGCUGCACUGUUCUGUGAAGGGAGUAGUACACAGCAUUGUACGAGAUCUUCAGUUUCUUGGCAAUUUCUCGCAUGGGAUAUCAUUUCUCAGAACAAGAAUAGACCGACGAGUUUCAGAAGGAAGUUCAUUGUUUCUGGCUAUUUUGAGCCUGUAAUCGAACCAACAAAUGCUGAUGCUCCAGAUACUCAACUAGUCUAAAGAAGGCCAGUUUUAUUUCUUCUUUAAUUAGCACAACAGUUUUCAGCUGUGCUAACAUAAUUGCAAAAGUGUUUUCUAAUGAUCAAUUAGCCUUUUAAAAUGAUAAACUUGGAUUAGCUAACACAACGUGCCAUUGGAACACAGUAUUUCUGAUCAAUUUGAUGUUAUUUUAAUGGACAAAAAGUGUGCUUUUCUUUCAAAAACAAGGACAUUUCUAAGUGACCCCAAACUUUUGAACGGUAGUGUAAAUGUCCAAAGCAAUAUCUUUGAGUUGAAGAGAAGCUCAGCCUCCAAAAUGAGGUCAUGGUGUGUUUAGUAAGGACUGUAUGACUUUCUGAGGGAGGGAGAGAGAGAGAGAGAGAGAAGGGAAAGGACUAUCUGGGCUGGGGAAGAGACGUUAAGAGACCGGCUUUAGGAUCAUGGGCAAACUGCACGUAUAUACAAGCCCAUAAAAUUGUGGCAUGCUUUGUUGGCAGAGCCAGACGGCGUUCAGACUGCUCUACAUUCGGGGCAUGUGAUGAGAAGGCAGCUGUGCUGUGCCUCCUUUCCCUUCGCAUAGGGAUUUCCCACACUCUGUGUCUCUGGGUUCAAACAACAUACUAUAAGUGUGUAAAAUGCACGCACAUGCAAACACACCCACACAGAGAGGGAGAACAUGAGCAACCAUGUACACAACCACAGAACUAAGCAGUAAGCAUUGCGACCAUAUCCGAUCCGAAAACCCACACAACUACACAAGUUCUACCCAUUACCACAACCUUUUGAUUAUGUUAUCCACAAACCCAGUACUACACUACGGCACACAAUUCAACACAACACCAAAGUAACACUUGUGAUACUCAACCAAGAACACACAUACAUUUACUGUGUCCAUACAUACACAUCAUGAACCAAACCACACAUUUCCUUCACUUCCUACCAAUGGCAAAUAAAGAUCCUUAGAUCCGUUCUCUAGUUGAGUGUCAGAUGUAGAUUAUUAUUUCCAGAAAUGAUUAAAUGCAUGUUCAGUAUCUUCAUGCCAAAAUAUUCUGAACGCCAAGAAAAUAUGAUGUUGCUAAUUUGGUAUUGUCUACAUAUGGACAGUCUGUCAAUGGUAUCAAGACCAGUAAGUUGAUACAGUACCAUAGUAUGAACACAUACUGAUAAUAUGAUGUAAAGUGCCUUCAGAAAGUAUUCACACCCCUUGACUUUUUCCACAUUUUGUUGUGUUACAAAGUGGGAUACAUUUUUUUUUUACAAUAAAAAAAUAAAACACUAAUAUACACUGCAUGAUAUAAAGUAUGUGGACACCUGCUUGUCGAACAUCUCAUUCCAAAAUCAUGGCCAUUAAUAUGGAGUUUGUCCCCCCUUUGCUGCUAUGACAGCCUCCACUCUUCUGGGAAGGCUUUCCACUAGAUGUUGGAACAUUGCUACAGGGACUUGCUUCUAUUCAGCCACAAAAGCAUUAGUGAGAUUGGGCACUGAUGUUGGGCGACUAGGCCUGGCUUGCAGUCAGUGUUCCAAUUCAUCCCAAAGGUGUUCAAUGGAGUUGAGGUCAGGGCUCUGUGCAGGCCAGUCAAGUUCUUCCACACCGAUCUCGACAAGCCAUUUCUGUAUGGACCUUGCUUUGUGUAUGGGGACAUUGUCAUGCUGAAACAGGAAAUGGCCUUUCCCAAACUGUUGCCACAAAGUUGGAAGCACAGAAUUGUCUAGAAUGUAAUUGUUUGCUGUAGCAUUAAGAUAUUCCUUCAUUGGAACUAAGGGGCCAAGCCCGAACCAUAAAAAACAGUCCCAGACUAUUAUUCCUCCUCCACCAAACUUUACAGUUGGCACUAUCCAUUCGGGCAGGUAGUGUUCUCCUGGCAUCCGCCAAACCCAGAUUAGUCCAUCGGACUGCCAGAUGGUGAAGCGUGAUUCAUCACUCCAGAGUCCAAUGGCGGCGAGCUUUACACCACUCCAGCCGACGCAUGGCAUAGAGCAUGGUGAUCUUCGGACAUUGUAACAAUAAUCGACAGCACCAUGGUGAACAAAAGGACACAUAUAUAUACAAAUACCAUCAGUGGGAAUAGGGGUCAGGUGUGCGUAAUGAAAGUUCCAGAGGGAUCCGUGACAAGUUAUGUCCUCAAACACUACAGUCCACAAAAACACUACAGUUUAACUAUAGUAAUAGUACAGUAUUUAAUUUGCAUAUACUCUGCCCAUUCCCCUCCCCCAUAUCCCAAUUUGUGCCACCCAUAAGUGAGAAACCUACAUGCCAAGUAUAGACCAUUUAUUGUGGUCCCUACUGGUUAUAGAAAAGAGCAGAAGCUCUGAACUAUCUGUUCAGACCCCAGUCCUACCAACCUACAGGUUAUAGAAAAGCCACCAUGUUCUAUGUUAAAUAUAAUAAAACAAAAACACUAUAGUAAAAUGUUAGUGUAAACUGUAAAAACAGUAGUACAUACUACAGUGUACUACAGUCUGCAAAAACACUACAGUCCUCAAAAAACAACGGUUUUCCCACUAUAGUAAUAAUACAGUAUUUAAACUAUAGUAUUUUUGAAUGUGGGCCUGACAGAAGAUCAACCACUUCCCUGGCAUGAUGGAGCUGUGCAAGAAGAACAUACUGGCUCGCAACAUUUACCGCAUGCUGAAGAGGUUCCCCAAGGUGUACAACAUCUUCCCCCGCACCUGGUGACGCUCCCAUUAGUCAAUUGGCACUAGCCUGGUUAAAUCAAACUGAAUGCUGCGCUCACCAUCAGGGCAUAAAAUUUACUUUUUGGUCCCCUAGCCACUGUGGCAGGUAGAUGAAAAAAUCUAGCCACUCAGAUUUUUUCCUCCAGACAAAAUAUUUUUUCCCCAGCUAAAAUGACACCAAAAAACACCAAAAAACAUAUGAGCAUGCUCUGUAAUGUUUCUAAAACACUCAAAUGUAUUACUAGUAAGAAGUAACUAAUGUGGUAUAUUGAAUAAUAUAUAUAUAUUUUUUAACCAAAAUAUCACAGAUGGGGGGGAAAAAAGUUAACCGGCCACUUUAAGACCGGGAAGUCACCGUGGUAGCGAGACUCAAGUCAUGUUUGUGCCUGUGUGAUUAAGGCUGCGUUUCAAACUCAUAAAAGACACACCCUCCUCCAUUUACCCUAGCUUUAUGCGCUUGGGGGAAUCCCCACGGCCAUCUUUGUCGUCAGUCCAAACAAUUAGCCAAACAAGGGAAGUUCGCUACGUAAGCCCCUCAACCCUCGUUUUUGAUCGAGUCAAUUAUGUUCACUUCGGAGCCUGAAACGCCCCAUAAUUCAAUUCGCGAUGAUUGUACAUCCGCUAAGAAAAGUCAGCCAAAACUUAAAACCUCAAUGUCAAUACGGAGAAGUUAACAUACAAGUGUAAGUAAAAACUAAGGUAAAUAACUUAGAAAUGUUGCUACUAAUGCACAUGACAGCACAAACACGUCUUGUAAAAGUAAUGAUGUUUUUGUUUGGUUAGCUUUUGGAAAUGGUAUAAAUAAAACAUUUUCCUUCAGAAGUUCCAGCUUGGCAGGCUAACGUUAAUUAAUUUGCUAGCUAUCAUACAGUAGGCGUAUAUUAAUAAUUAUAUAGUUAAUAUAAGUAGACAUGCAAUCCAUAAUUGACUGUAGCGCAUAUAAAGCACCCACAAGCUACCAGUGGCUGAAAACACAAUCGUUGCGGGAUGAACGAGUGACGAAUUUCCGGGCAAGGGCGGUCCAUUUAAAAUGAAUUCCUUCCUCCCUCACCCCUCACCCUUUGCCCUGCAAGUGUAAACUGCGGCUCAGUUGGUAGAGCAUGGUGUUUGCAAUGCCAGCAUGGUGUGUGCAACGCCAGGGCUGUGGGUUCGAUUCCCACGGGGGGCCAGUACAAAAAAAAAAAUUAUGAAAUGUACGCAUUCACUACUAAAAGUCUCUCUGGAUAAGAGUGUCUGCUAAAUGACUAAAAUGUAAAUGUAAUGAUACGUCAUCAGAAGUGUCCACUUAAUUUGAGGGCUGAGGGGAGAGGGGGUGUCUUUUAAGUGUUUGGAAUGCAGCCUAAGUCUGAUUAGUGAAAGUGGUCUUCUCUUCCCUAGCAGUUGAAACUCAAACAUAGAAAAACAACCUAGCUUGUGAACAAAACAAUGUAAAUUAGCCAAGAAACACAAGGACAAAGUCUCGCUGUUGCAGCGCGAGUAGGCUUUAUAGAAUUUCUUUGACUUUGUGAGAUUAAUUUACCAGCUAUGAAACAAAACGGUGCAAAUGCUUUCAAAACAGCUGCUGCAGCAUUUAUUUGACUAUAAAUGUGAUCAUACUUGACUAUUUUUAUUCAGAAAUCAAAUGCUUGCGCUGUGGAGCCUUGACCAACCGCCAGCGUGGCUGGUGAAAUAGACAUCUUACCCGACAAUGCCAAAAUCUACCCAUAUUUGGCAGGUGUUAAUUGUAUGCCCUGCUCACCAUUCAAUCUGGUUUAACCACGCUAGAUUGAUACACCUUUUACAUUAGAUAAUACACCAUUAUCCUUUGAUUGCAUGAUGUCUGUGAAUGAAAAUCCCAAACUCUUUCUUAGAGGACAGAGGGGAGAUGGACAUUAUUGGCCCUGUACCCUGCGGUGUACUUUGGAAUUUGAUAAUGCUUUCUAUUUGUUAUCUAAAUCAAGGUUUCCCAACCAUUUAGGGAUAUCGGGUCUAGACUUUAUUUUCCUUAUUAUUAUUGUUAUUAUUAUUAUUAUUUGUAUGAUUAUUAUUAUUAUUACCAUUAUUAUGUUUUAACAUUAACUAGCCUACCAAAAUAUGUAAUGAGUCUUGUUAAACUACAUAAAAUUGCAGGAAAUGAGCUUAAAAAACAAACAUUUUCCUAGGUCCUUCAAAUUAAAUAAAUUCAAACUGGUGUUUUAUUUAAUAUACGCUAUCUAAAUAUACCACAUUUUUAUGACAUUUUUUUUAUGUGAAAAGGGGGCCCUGGGGAAAAAUGGCUGGGACCCCUGAUUUAAAUAAUUUCUGAAAGUACAAUAGGAGCAGGAUUAACUUUUUUUAUUUUAUUGUACUGCAUUUACAAGAAGAUGUGAAGAAGAUGCAGCUGUGUUGGAAAUGGAUCUAAACAUCUGUGCUUCUUUUUUGGCAACUGAAGCCUUGUCUUUUAUAAUACUGCCUCUUGUAUUUAAACGUCUUUGUUGUGUACCUCCCACUACCGCUCCACAGUUACAGUGACUUCCAGGCCUACACCAGGGCCAAAAAGCACAAGACGUACAGUACCAGUCAAAAGUUUGGACACACCUACUCAUUCAAGGGUUUUUCAAUAUUUUUACUAUUUUCUACAUUGUAGAAUAAUAGUGAAGACAUCAAUACUAUGAAAUCACACUUAUGGAACACUUAUUUCAUACUUGUGAUGUCUUCACUAUUGUUCUACAAUGUAGAAAAUAGUAAUAAUAAAGCAAAACCCUUGAAUGAGUAGGUGUGUCCAAAAGUUUGACUGGUACUGUACAUCUGCAAGGCGGACACGGGCAGCCAGGGCCGUGACAUCUACCUCACCAAGUCCACCAAAGACUUCCCACACGGAGAGCACAUGAUCUGCCGGAUCUACAUCUUCAGGGCAUGACUGUAGUCUCAUGUACUGCAACAAAUAAUAACAUAGUGCAUAGAUCUGUGGUUUUCAACCUGUGGUCCUUAGGGCUACUGCAGGUGGUCGUGGUUUUUAAAAUAGUAUUUCUUCCUAAAAUAACAACAUUUGGGAAUAUUAAUGGUAUAAUAAGCCAUUUUAAAUAGCGUUUAACAAUGCAGAUUGUUUAUCAUUAUAAUAAUAAUAAUAAUAGGCCUUUAAACUUUUACAUUCACUGAUAAAAUGUACUCUAAAUUGUAUUUAUUUAAAAUUCUGCAUCUGCGCGAAUGGUGGUCCACAAACUUUUGACUGUGGUCCCCGGAACGGAAAACUUUGGGAACCAAUAGAUGUAUGUGGCUCCUGUUCCUAUUCUAUUCAAUGUUAUUGAAUAUAUUCCAUAAUAUCCAGUAACUGGAGUUGCCAGGGAAGGCGAAACAGGCAUUUUCUCAACCUGUCUUGUCAUAUCUCCAGAUAUUCUACUUUGUCUCAGCCUCUUGUUCCUCUCUGCCACCACAAGCAGCCAUUGGUCAUUGACGGCUUCACGUUUGACCUGCGCAGCUACGUGCUGGUGAUUUCUGCGACCCCCUUCCGUAUCUUCCUGUAUAAGGAGCAGCUGGCCCGCUUCUGCACCCGCCACUUCAACUACUCCACCCGCAACAACGUGGUGCGGCACGGCACAACCACAGGAGAGGGCAACGUGUUUUACAUUGUGUGCUUCUCAUGUUUAUUUCAAUGUCAUUGGUCUUUUAUGUUCGUACUGUGUAGUUUUGUUAGGGAUCGUAUUUAAAGUUUCAAGUUUUUUAUGCCACGUGCACAAGUACAGUGAAAUGCCUUUCUGGCAAGCUCUAAACCCAACAAUGCAGUAUUCAAUAUUAAUAUAGUGCUACAAAUAACAUAAGGUCAAACAAACACACAAGAUAUUAAAAUAAGAGCACGAGAAGUAAUUAAGCUAUAUACAGGGUCAGUUCCAAUACCAGAUUUACAAUGUGCAGGGAUACUGGAGUGAUAGAGGUAGAUAUGUAUAGGGGUAAGAUGACUAGGCCUCAGGAUACAAUAUAUGAUAAACAGUGUAGCAGCAUAUGAUGAUUGUACUGUAUGUGAGUGUGUGUAAAUGUGCCAGUCUAAAUGUGUGUGCAUGUUAUGUGUGUGUGAGCAAAUUAAGUGUGUGUGAGUGUGCAUAGAGACAGUGCAAAAAUAAAAUGAAUGUAUAGUACAAUGUAGGAUAGAAGUGGUAACAUUUGUUUUCAUCAGGAAAUUGAUAUGUUGUACAUCAUCAGUAUGUUCUAAACGUGUUCAAGGGGACAGAGACAGACAGGAACACACUCAAACACAGACACGCAGGCAGACGGACUUAGAUAAGAUAGACGUCUGUCUUUGAACUCAGUGGGUGUGUUCAAUCUUGCUCCUCUCAAACCGUAUUUGUUUACCAGUGAUAUGGCCCCAUUGAUGACUCAAGCUACUGUUUUACAAGCUCUUGUCAUAAAAGACUUAGCAUGGGCCGACAUCGAGGAUGUGGUGAUCAAGGCUCUGGUCUCAGCCCACUCAGUGCUCCACCACAGCUACCACACCUGCUUCUCGCACAACACCACCACCAGUUCUCUGCCCCCGAGCCUGCCUGCCAUCCUGCACCUGCCUGACUCUGACCUGAUCACGUACCACGUACCUCUGCCUGCCCUCUGCCUGCCCUGUGUUUCUAAUAAAUAAUCUGAGAACUGUACUAUCCGCCUCCCGUGUCUGCAUCUGGGUCAUAUCCUGAGUCUGAUAGUACAAACUGGCCAUGACUGACCCAGCAGACUCUUACCGGCUCUGCAGCGCCAUCUUCUCCCAGGGAGCCACCAUUGGAAGACACAACGAGUUACUUAAAGUACUUAUGGAAGGAUUCCAGACCUUGGCGGUACACCAGGACCGUGCCCUCAACACAUUGCUGGAACAAUUCCUCGGAUUGUCUGUGAGGCAGCCCGCCACUACAGUAAUCCCCCAGACUGUCAAUUACCCCACUACCACUGGCGUUUUUCCCCAAUCUACCCUGGCUUCCCAAGAACCCUGCAUACCUCCUCCGGAUCGCUACGCUGGAGAUCCCGGAUUCUGCCGGGCAUUUCUCUCCCAGUGUUCUCUCAUAUUUGAGCUGCAGCCCUCUUCAUUUGCAUGCUACCCUGGUGUCGGAGCAGGGAAUCCCCACACAACCCCUCUCCAUUCCCAUGGACAUCAGAGUGUCGGAUGGGCGCUCUAUUGGCAGAGUCACCCACACCACGUGUCCCAUUAACCUGAGAGUGUUGGGUAAUCACAGUGAGUUUAUGCAGUUCCUGCCGAUCGAAUCCCCUCAUGCACCUGUGGUUUUGGGGUUUUCCUGGCUCCAGACGCACAAUCACCUGAUCGACUGGGCUACUGGUUCUAUCCUGGGUUGGAGCCCGUUUUGCCAUGGGCAUUGCCAGAAGUUGGCGCUGCCUGCCCCGGGACGUCUUCCUGUGGGCUUGGGAAAAGCCCCGGACCUCUCCCCCGUUCACGCGGAGUACCAGGACCUCCAGGAGGUUUUUAGCAAGGCCCGUGCAAGUGCGCUUCCUCCGCAUUGGCCCUAUGACUGCGCCAUCGACCUUCUCCCGGGUACUACACCGCCUCGGGCGCAGCUUUAUUCCCUGUCAGGUCCGGAGACCAAGACAAUGGACCUGCCCUUUGCCUGCCCUGGCGUUUUGAUGGGUCCCCCCGCGGGACGGAUGAGCUAACAUAGGCUAAUGCGAUUAGCAUGAGGUUGACCAGCACCUGGGCGGCAUCCGCAGGAUCUUCCCCCGCCAGGGAGGGGAGGAGUACGACAAGUACCUCAAACACAGCAGCUCCCUCUUCCAGGAGACAGCUGCCACCAAGGCCAGAGAGAGGUGCACCAGGUUUACUGGAUAAGGGUAAAAUCCACAAAGUACCCCUCUGCCCCAUCCAUCCCAAUCCUCUGGCCGACUCCGCUCACUUCCUCCCAGGGUGACCCAGGCGCUGAAGGAGGAAGAGGAGGGGGUGGAAGAACGUCUCGGGGCUGCAGCUGAGGGCCAGCCUGCUCAGAGACCUGGGCAGACCAGGUGUACGUCACAAUGCCACCUGUUGUCAAGACUGACUUACGGCAAUAUAUAAGCAACAUGGCAGCCAAGUCAGUGCCUCUCUGAGUAAGCUGGGUAACCACAACAACAGCAGCUCUAACGGGCCCUUUGCUGAAAUGCACGUGCAAGGCCCUCCCCCUAUCACCCUGAGGCCGCCCCACCCAAGGCUGCCCCACCCUCAGGUAUGUGAAGGACCCAGCGAUUGUUUUUGGUAACAAAUGCCACCUCUCUUCAGGUUUUGGGCAAGUUGGUAAGACAAGGUGGGUGAAAUAAGAUUUUCCCACACCUUUGGGGAAACCACAGCAGCUGUCUUAGUCUUCAGCUGUGACCUAGUGUGGACGCAGCGCAAGGCUCUCACUCCAGCAGCCCACUUCCGGCUGCCGCAGCUGUCCAGCGGACACUUUGUGGUGUCGUAGGGAGUGAGGAAGAUAUACCAGGCUACAGACCAGACUGUGGUCAACCGCUGUGAUUAGGCAGAACACCAGACCAGGAAGCACCUCGUCGACAACAAGGCCAUCGACCACGAUCACUUAAGGGACCUGCUCAAAGAAGAAGCUAUGGACUUAGAUAACGGCAAGUCUGCUGACCCUUCCAUGAACCAGCCAAACCAGCCGAUCUGAGACUCGUUGAGACUAUGUUGUACAGGUCAACAUAACUACAGGCAUGCUUGUGGAUUGCAUGCUGACACUUGUUUUUACUCUGCCAAGAUGAUUUUGUCCAGAUGAGAAUGUGGAUGGAACAUUGGUUCAUCUAUCAAGCCUCAUCAAGAGACGUUACUCCUCAAUAAUAAUACCUACAUGUUUCAAGCAGACCACCAAGGAAGUGAAGGUAACCUGCCUAAAUGAUUACUGCACCGUGGCACUCACGUCGGUAGCCAUGAAGUGCUUUGAAAGGCUGGUCAUGGCUCACAUCAACAGUAUCCUCCCGGACACCCUAGACCCACUCCAAUUCACAUACUGCUCCAACAGAUCCACAGAUGACGCAAUCUUAAUCGCACUCCACACUGCCCUUUCUCACCUGGACAAAAGGAACACCUAUGUGAGAAUGCUGUUCAUUGACUACAGCUCAGCGUUCAACACCAUAGUGCCCACGAAGCUCAUCACUAAGCUAAGGACUCUGGGACUAAACAACUCCCUCUGCAACUGGAUCCUGGACAUCCUGAUGGGCCGCCCCCAGGUGGUAAGAGUAGGCAACAACAUGUCUGCCACGUCGAUCCUUAACACUGGUGCCCCUCCUGUAUUCCCUGUUCUCCCACGACUACGUGGCCAAACACGACUCCAACACCAUCAUUAAGUUUGCUGAUGACACAACAGUGGUAGGCCUGAUCACCGACAACGAUGAGACGGCCUAUAGGGAGGAGGUCAGAGAACUGGCAGUGUGGUGCCAGGACAACAACCUCUCCCUCAAUGUGAGCAAGACUAAGGAGCUGAUUGUGGACUAUAGGAAAAGGCGGCCGAACAGGCCCCCAUUAACAUCGACAGGGCUGUAGUGGAGCGGGUCGAGAGUUUCAAGUUCCUUGGUGCCCAUAUCACCAACAAACUAUCAUGGUCCAAACAUACCAAGACAGUCUUGAAGAGGGCACGACAAUACAUUUUCCCCCUCAGGAGACUGAAAAGAUUUGGCAUGAGUCCCAAGAUCCUCAAAAGGUUCUACAUCUGCACCAUCGAGAGCAUCCUGACCGAUUGCAUCACCGCCUGGUAUGGCAACUGCUUGGCAUCUGACCGUAAGGCGCUGCAGAGGGUAGUGCGAACGGCCCAGUACAUCACUGGGGCCAAGCUUCCUGCCAUCCAGGACCGAUAUAAUAGGCGUGUCAGAGGAUAGUCCAUACAAUUGUCAGAGACUCCAGUCACCCAAGUUAUCGACUGUUUUUUCUGCUACCGCACGGCAAGCGGCACCGGAGCGCCAAGUCUAGGACCAAAAGGCUCCUCAAUGUCAUCUACCCCCAAGCCAUAAAUUCAUAAAAUCGCCACCGGACAAUUUACAUUGAUUCCCCCCCACUCCCUUUUGUACACUGCUACUACUCGCUGUUUGUUUGUUACCUAUGCAUAGUCACUUCGCCCCUACCUACAUGUACAGAUUACCUCAUAGCCUGUACCCCCGCACACUGACUCUAUACCGGUGCCCCCUGUAUAUAGCCUCGUUAUUAUUAUUCUUGUUGUGUUACUUUUUAUUAUUACUUUUUUUAUUUUAGUUUACUUGGUAAAUAUUUUCUUCUUCUUUGACUGCACUGUUGGUUAAGGGCUUGUACAGUUGAAGUUGGAGGUUUACAUACACCUUAGCCAAAUACAUUUAAACUCAGUUUUUCACAAUUCUUGACAUUUUAAUCCUUGUAAAAAUUCCCUGUCUUAGGGCAGUUAGAAUCACCACUUUAUUUUAAGAAUGUGAAAUAUCAGAAUAAUAGUAGAGAGAAUGAUUUAUUUCAACUUUUAUUUCUUUCAUCACAUUCCCAGUGAGUCAGAAGUUUACAUACACUCAAUUAGUAUUUGGUAGCAAUGCCUUUACAUUGUUUAACUUGGGUCAAGCGUUUCGGGUAGCAUUCCACAAGCUUCCCACAAUAAGUUGGGUGAAUUUUGGCCCAUUCCUCCUGACAGAGCUGGUGUAACUGAGUCAGGUUUGUAGGCCUCCUUGCUCGCACACGUUUUUUCAGUUCUGCCCACAAAUUUUCUAUAGGAUUGAGGUCAAGGCUGUGUGAUGGCCACUCCAAUACCUUGAUUUUGUUGUCCUUAAGCUAUUUUACCACAACUUUGGAAGUAUGCUUGGGGUCAUUGUGCAUUUGGAAGACCCAUUUGCGAGCAAGCUUUAACUUCCUGACUGAUGUCUUGAGAUGUUGCUUCAAUAUAUCCACAUAAUUUUCCAUCCUCAUGAUGCCAUCUAUUUUGUGAAGUGCACCAGUCCCUCCUGCAGCAAAGCACCCCCACAACAUGAUGCUGCCACCUCCGUGCUUCCCGGUUGGGAUGGUGUUCUUCGGCUUACAAGCCUCCCCCCUUUUCCUCCAAACAUAACAAUGGUCAUUAUGGCCAAACAGUUCCAUUUUUGUUUCAUCAGACCAGAGGACAUUUCUCCAAAAUGUACGAUCUUUGUCCCCAUGUGCAGUGGCAAACCGUAGUCUGGCUUUUUUAUGGCGGUUUUGGAGCAGUGGAUUCUUUCUUGCUGAGCGGCCUUUCAGGUUAUGCCGAUAUAGGACUCACUUUACUGUGGAUAUAGAUACUUUUGUACCUGUUUCCUCCAGCAUCUUCACAAGGUCCUAUGCUGUUGUUCUGGCAUUGAUUUGCACUUUUCGCACCAAAGUACGUACAUCUCUAGGAGACAGAACGCAUCUCCUUCCUGAGCUGUAUGGUGGCUGCGUGGUCCCAUGGUGUUUAUACUUGCGUACUAUAGUUUGUACAGAUGAACGUGGUACCUUCAGGCGUUUGGAAAUUGCUCCUAAGGAUGAACCAGACUUGUGGAGGUCUACAAUUUUUUUUCUGAGGUCUUGGCUGAUUUCUUUUGAUUUUCCCAUUAUGUCAAGCAAAGAGGCACUGAGUUUGAAGGUAGGCCUUGAAAUACAUCCACAGGUACACCUCCAAUGGACUCAAAUGAUGUCAAUUAGCCUAUCAGAAGCUUCUAAAGCCAUGCCAUCAUUUUCUGGCAUUUUCCAAGCUGUUUAUUGGCACAGUCAACUUAAUGUAUGUAAACUUCUGACCCACUGGAAUUGUGAUACAGUGAAAUAAUCUGUUUGUAAACAAUUGUUGGAAAAAUUACUUGUGUCAUGCACAAAGUUAGAUGUCCUAACCGACUCACCAAAACUGUAGUUUGUUAACCUGUUGGGGCUAGGGGGCAGUAUUUGCACGGCUGGAUAAAAAAAUGUACCCGAUUUAAUCUGGUUACUAAUCCUACCCAGUAACUAGAAUAUGCAUAUACUUAUUAUAUAUGGAUAGAAAACACUCUAAAGUUUCUAAAACUGUUUGAAUGGUGUCUGUGAGUAUAACAGAACUCAUUUGGCAGGCAAAACCCUGAGACAUUUUCUGACAGGAAGUGGAUACCUGAUGUGUUGUAUUACCUUUAAACCUAUGCCAUUGAAAAACACAGGGGCUGAGGAAUAUUUUGGCACUUCCUAUUGCUUCCACUAGAUGUCACCAGCCUUUACAAAGUGUUUUGAGUCUUCUGGAGGGAGAUCUGACCGAACAAGAGCCAUGGAACGAUGAUGGCCCAUUAGACACC